rnacentral:lncRNA from 1 species
UAUGGGUCCCUAUGGGGCGCUAUGGGGCGCUAUGGGUCUCUAUGGGGCGCUAUGGGGUCUCUAUGGGGCGCUAUGGGGCGCAGUGACACAGCAGCAUUCAGGGCAGUCACUCAUUUAUUUUCACCUCCGUCCCGGUCCCCCCCAAAACCCCACAUCUAUGGGGCAGAGGAGUCAUCACCCCAUAUCUAUGGGGCUGGGGGGGUCUUUACCCCACAUCUAUGGGAUGGGAGGGUCUUCAACCGACAUCUAUGGGGCAGGGGGGUCUUCACCCCACAUCUAUGGGGCUGGGGGGGUCUUUACCCCACAUCUAUGGGGCAGGGGAGGGUCUCCACCCCAUAUCUAUGGGGCNNNNNUAUGGGGCAGGGGGGGUCUUCACCCCACAUCUAUGGGGGAGGGGGGGUCUUCACCCCACAUCUAUGGGGCUGGGGGGGGCCCCAAAGCCAACAGGUCCCGGAUGUGGAGUGGCAGCUCCUGGGGGAGGGGGAAAUGGGGUCAUGUUGGGGUCAUGAGGUCACGGUGGGGUCACGGUGGGGUCACGGUGGGGUCAUGGGGUCACGUGGUCCGGUUUGGGGUCACGUUGGGGUCAUGAGGUCACUUUGGGGUCACAGCGGGGUCAGGAUUAGGGGUCAUAGGUCACAGCAGGGUCAGGGCAGUGUCAGGUGUUAUUUUGAGGUCACGGUGGGGUCAGAGGUCAUGCCGGGGUCACAUGGGGGUCAGGGUGGGGCCAGAGGUCACAGUAGGGUCAGAGGUCAAAAUGGGGUCAGGUCGUGGCCAGGGGUCAAUGUGAGGUCACAGAGGGGUCACACCAGGGUCAGAGGUCACACGGGUCAGGGCAGGGUCAGAGGUCACAGCGGGGUCACAGGUCACGGUGGGGUCAGAGGUCAUGGCGGGGCCAGGGGUCAUUGUAGAAUCAGGGUG